rnacentral:rRNA from 1 species
GGUUCGAUUAUGGCUCAGACGAACGCUGGCGGGAUGCUUUACACAUGCAAGUCGAACGGCAGCACGGACUUCGGUCUGGUGGCGAGUGGCGAACGGGUGAGUAAUGUAUCGGAACGUGCCUAGUAGCGGGGGAUAACGCUACGCGAAAAGCGUAGCUAAUACCGCAUACGCCUCUUCGGGGGAAAGCGGGGGGACCUUCGGGCCUCGCACUAUUAGAGCGGCCGAUAUCGGAUUAGUUAGUUGGUGGGGUAACGGCUCACCAAGGCGACGAUCCGUAGCUGGUUUGAGAGGACGACCAGCCACACUGGGACUGAGACACGGCCCAGACUCCUACGGGAGGCAGCAGUGUGGGAAUUUUGGAUAAUGGGGAAACCCUGAUCCAGCCAUCCCGCGUGUGCGAUGAAGGCCUUCGGGUUGUAAAGCACUUUGGCAGGAAAAGAAACGGCACGGGAUAAUACCCCGUGCAACUGACGGUACCUGCAGAAUAAGCACCGGCUAACUACGUGCCAGCAGCCGCGGUGGUUACGUAGGGUAAGCGUUAAUCGGAAUUACUGGGCGAAAGCGUGCGCAGGCGGUUCGGAAAGAAAGAUGUGAAAUCCUUAGAGCUUAACUUUGGAACUGCAUUUUUAACUACCGAGCUAGAGGGUUGGGGAGGGAGGUGGAAUCUGCGUGUAGCAGUGAAAUGCGUAGAUAUGCGGAGGAACACCGAUGGCGAAGGCAGCCUCCUGGGAUAACACUGACGCUCAUGCACGAAAGCGCACGGGGAGCAAACAGGAUUAGAUACCCUGGUAGUCCACGCCCUAAACGAUGUCAACUAGCUGUUGGGGCCUUCGGGCCUUUGGUAGCGCAGCUAACGCGUGAAGUUGACCGCCUCGGGGAGUACGGUCGCAAGAUUAAAACUCAAAGGAAUUGACGGGGACUCGCACAAGCGGUGGAUGAUGUGGAUUAAUUCGAUGCAACGCGAAAAACCUACCUACCCUUGACAUGUCUGGAAUCCCGAAGAGAUUUGGGAGUGCUCGUAAGAGAACCGGAACACAGGUGCUGCAUGGCUGUCGUCAGCUCGUGUCGUGAGAUGUUGUUAUCCGGCAACGAGCGCAACCCUUGUCAUUAGUUGCUACGAAAGGGCACUCUAAUGAGACUGCCGGUGACAAACCGGAGGAAGGUGGGGAUGACGUCAAGUCCUCAUGGCCCUUGCGGUAGGGCUUCACACGCUAUACAAUGGUCGGGACAGAGGGUCGCCAACCCGCGAGGGGGAGCCAAUCCCAGAAACCCGAUCGUAGUCCGGAUCGCAGUCUGCAACUCGACUGCGUGAAGUCGGAAUCAUAGUAAUCGCGGAUCAGCAUGUCGCGGUGAAUACGUUCCCGGGUCUUGUACACACCGCCCGUCACACCAUGGGAGUGGGUUUUACCAGAAGUAGUUAGCCCAACUGCAAGGAGGGCGACUACCACGGUAGGAUUCAUGACUGGGGUGAAGUCGUAACAAGGUAACCUCUUGUGCCGACACCGAUGCUCCU